rnacentral:rRNA from 1 species
GAUAAACGCUGGCGGCGUGCCUAAUACAUGCAAGUCGAACGGGGAAAGCUUUCGGGUGAGUACUAGUGGCGCACGGGUGAGGAACGCGUGGAUAAUCUGCCUUAGAGUGGGGGAUAACUAGUCGAAAGAUUAGCUAAUACCGCAUAAGACCACAGGAGCUGCGGCUCAAGGGGUCAAAGGUUUUUCGCUCUAAGAUGAGUCCGCGUAAGAUUAGCUAGUUGGUGAGGUAACGGCUCACCAAGGCGACGAUCUUUAACUGGUCUGAGAGGAUGAUCAGUCACACUGGAACUGAGACACGGUCCAGACUCCUACGGGAGGCAGCAGUAGGGAAUAUUGCACAAUGGAGGAAACUCUGAUGCAGCGACGCCGCGUGAGUGAAGAAGGCCUUCGGGUCGUAAAGCUCUGUCGCAGGGGAAUAACACAAUGAAGGUACCCUGUAAGAAAGGAUCGGCUAACUUCGUGCCAGCAGCCGCCGUAACAC